AGCAGCCGCGGUAAUUCCAGCUCCAAUGCGUAUAUUAAAGUUGUUGCAGUUAAAAAGCUCGUAGUUGAAUUUCGGGGUUAGUAGGUUGGUCAUGCCUCUGGUAUGUACUGGUCUCACUGAUUCCUCCUUUCUGA
rnacentral:rRNA from 1 species